AGAGUUUGAUCCUGGCUCAGAAUCAACGCUGGCGGCAUGCCUAACACAUGCAAGUCGAGCGAGAAAGUGUAGCAAUACAUGAGUAAAGCGGCGCACGGGUGAGUAACACGUGGAUAACCUGCCUCAAAGUGGGGAAUAACACCGGGAAACCGGUGCUAAUACCGCAUAUUCUGACGAGAUCUGCGGAUUUUGUCAGGAAAGGAGCAAUUCGCUAUGAGAGGGGUCCGCGGCUGAUUAGCUAGUUGGUGGGGUAAUGGCUCACCAAGGCUUUGAUCAGUAGCCGGUCUGAGAGGACGGUCGGCCACACUGGAACUGAGACACGGUCCAGACUCCUACGGGAGGCAGCAGUGGGGAAUUUUUCGCAAUGGGGGCAACCCUGACGAAGCAAUGCCGCGUGGAUGAUGAAGUAUCUCGGUACGUAAAAUCCUUUCGACGGGGACGAAACCGCAAGGUUGACGGUACCCGUAGAAGAAGCCCCGGCUAACUCCGUGCCAGCCGCCGCGGUAAUAC
rnacentral:rRNA from 1 species